AGUGAAACAAUGAGCGUUGAAAAUUCAAGUGCUGCUUCAACAAUUCAGCACUUUUCCAUGAUUGAUAUUGGAGACAGAAGACAACUGCUGCUUGUCUUUAUCUAUGUUUAUCUCUGGUUACGUGCAUCACGUGUUUUUCGAAAACUUGAGAAUAUUAAAAAUCCAUAUUAAUCGAUGCGAUAAAAUAAAUAUGAGUCAAAAUAUGAAAACCGUGCUUGUGCCUCAGUGUUAUGAUGUGCCUUCAAGACGGUAAUUACGGUAUAAUUAUGGCUUAAAACCCCGCAAACAUGUAAAGGUGAUAUCGCUGUUCUGGACUUGAAGCAUUGGGGAUCACGUGAGAAAACCACACACGAAAAAUGUUCGCAUAAGAUACGACAAAAAUGUAAAGGUAAUGUCGCUGUUCUGGACUUGAAGCAUUGAAGAUGCUAGGGAUCACGUGAGAAAACCACACACGAAAAAUGUUCGCAUAAGAGACAAGUAAGGUUGUCUGAACCUAAUUAUUCU